GGGGGAAACCCUGACGCAGCAACGCCGCGUGGGUGAAGAAGGCCUUCGGGUCGUAAAGCCCUUUCGGACGGGACGAACGCUCCGCGGUGACAACCCGCGGAGCCUGACGGUACCGUAAGAAGAAGCACCGGCUAACUCCGUGCCAGCAGCCGCGGUAAUACGGAGGGUGCAAGCGUUGUUCGGAAUUACUGGGCGUAAAGCGCGUGUAGGCGGCCUUGCAAGCCAGACGUGAAAGCCCUCGGCUUAACCGGGGAAGUGCGUCUGGAACUGCUCGGCUCGAGUACGGGAGAGGGAGGCGGAAUUCCCAGUGUAGAGGUGAAAUUCGUAGAUAUUGGGAGGAACACCGGUGGCGAAAGCGGCCUCCUGGACCGAUACUGACGCUGAGACGCGAAAGCGUGGGGAGCAAACAGGAUUAGAUACCCUGGUAGUCCACGCUGUAAACGAUGGGCACUAGGUGUGGGGGGUAUCCACUCCUCCCGUGCCGCAGCUAACGCACUAAGUGCCCCGCCUGGGGA
rnacentral:rRNA from 1 species